UACGGGGGGAGCAAGCGUUGUUCGGAUUUACUGGGCGUAAAGGGCGCGUAGGCGGCCACCGCAAGUCGACUGUGAAAUCUCCGGGCUUAACCCGGAAAGGUCAGCCGAUACUGCGGGGCUAGAGUGCAGAAGGGGCAACUGGAAUUCUCGGUGUAGCGGUGAAAUGCGCAGAUAUCAGGAGGAACACCGGUGGCGAAGGCGGCAUCCUGGACCAACACUGACACUGAGGAGCGAAAGCCAGGGGAGCAAACGGG
rnacentral:rRNA from 1 species